GGAAAUCAUACUUUUAUAUAUCAUGGCUUCAACAAACAACAUAACUCAACCUUCUGACAACAACUCAGGUAUGUCAGGUAAUCAAACUGAGAGCCCUAUCUUAAGAUGGCCAGAUUUAGUUCUUACAUUAGCUUCAAGUCGCCAAUAUCCAGAGAGAACUUCUGACAUUGAGUUAGGUUCAGCUGAACUGGGCUUAUUGGCUUUGAACACAGUAA